rnacentral:piRNA from 1 species
UAUGAGGUGGGUGCCAUAUUCAAGGGU